rnacentral:rRNA from 1 species
UACGGGGGGAGCAAGCGUUGUUCGGAUUUACUGGGCGUAAAGGGCGCGUAGGCGGCCACCGCAAGUCGACUGUGAAAUCUCCGGGCUUAACCCGGAAAGGUCAGCCGAUACUGCGGGGCUAGAGUGCAGAAGGGGCAACUGGAAUUCUCGGUGUAGCGGUGAAAUGCGUAGAUAUCGAGAGGAACACCUGCGGCGAAGGCGGGUUGCUGGGCUGACACUGACGCUGAUGUGCGAAAGCUAGGGGAGCGAACGGG